GCAACCAUGAGCCAGAUUUAAAACGUAGAGACAGACGGAUACAUGCAGCUCUUUAUGGACAAAUUACUUUUUGUGGCUUUUUGUUUUUUUCUUGAAGUUUUUGCUUCUGAAGAGUUAAAAGCAAAGGCUGGAGAUGACGUCCUACUUUCAUGUCAAAGUCCCGGAGCCUCCAAGAUGUCAGAGUGGAGAAAACCUGACCUGAAGUCAGAUGAUUAUGUCUUGUUUGUCAGAGAGAACCGCCCAUAUGAAAACUACCAGAAUCCAUUAUUUUGUGGUCGAGUGGAGCUGAAAGAUCCAGAGAUGAAGGACGGAGACGUGUCUGUGAUUCUGAAGAACGUGAACAUCAAUGAUGCUGGAACAUAUGAGUGUUACAUUGGAAAUAGAGACCCGUAUCAGCUCAUCAACACAAUCAACCUGACAGUUGAACCAGGAAACACAAGUGAACGUAAGGAUGAUGGAGAUAACAAGAGUGGAGGGAACAGCAGAGGACAUGUUGGAGUCAUCAUUGGUCUGACAGCUGUUGUGAUUGUUGUUGCUCUUGUUUUUUUUUGAUUGUCCUGAAAUAUCAAAGACACACUCCAUCUCUGACAGUGACACUUAAAUGUGAUCAAAACUAACUCAAUAAUGAAAAAAUUCAGGAAAAAAAUCUCUCAGUUCUUUUACACAGUUCAUGAUCACAAUUAAAUUCAUCAAAUUCUGCUUUUACUUUUUACCAGGUCAUGUAACAGUUAGUGAGGAGACUCACUGAAUUCUUCAGGUUAAAUUAGAUGUUUUAAUAUGUUUUUUAUUCAAAGAACACAGACACAGUCCUUAGUUCUUAGUCUAUUGUCUAAGCCAGGACCACACAAGAAAUUAAUCAAUAGUGCUCCAAAUGUCUGGAUGCAAAUUUUCCAAUUCUCUUGAAAUCAAUCAGAAAGUUUCCAACCCACAAAAUGUAUCUCGCUACCAUCAAAAUUUAGACAAAGGAAGCACUUCCUUUAAAACCCCUGAUGAUAGAAAUAAUUAGAUUGAGAUUCAUUGUUGAAAAGAGAGAAGAUAAUGCAUGAUUUUUUUCAUGAAUAUGAACAUGGUGUGCCCCAGGGUUCAAUACUGGGUCUAAUUUUAUUCUCACUAUACGUGCUUAUAUGCAGACACAAUAUUUUACUGUGUCACUUUGUCAAACCUGGUGUUAAAAACCUUGGUGUUCGUUUUGACAGUAAUCUAAGUUUUGAACAUCACAUAACUAAAGUUGUCCAAUCAUGUUUUUAUCGCCUUAGGAAUGUAGCUAAAAUCAGAACUAUGUUAACUUUAGUGACCCUGAGACUACUAUGAGUUUAUCUCUUCCUGCCUUGAUUAUUUGUAACAGCAUUUUCUCUGGUCGUCAUCAGAAAGACUUAAACAUCUACAAUCUUAUCCAGAACUCAGCUGUCAGACAAGAACACAUGCCACCUAAGUUUGAGAUUCUACUGAUUACUUUUAAGGCUCUACAUGGCCUGCCAGCCUACAUGUCAGAUCUUUUAACUCCAUAUGAACCUCCACCUGAGAUCCUCAGCCACUAGACUGAGUAGACUAAAAUCCAGGUUAAGAUCUAAGGCGUGCAGAGCUUUUUCCAUCAAGACCUGCAAUGAUUUGCCCAAAGUAAUGAGGCUGUUGGAGUCAGUGUCAUCAAAUCAAGUCUUGCCUUAAAACAAAUUUUUUAGCAAAUUGCCUUUGUGAAUGUUUGUGAGAUUCUUGUCUGGCUUUGAUUGUCUGUUUCUUACCUAUUUUAUCACUAUUGCCUGUUUUCCACUCUGUUUUCAUAAUUGAUUUAAAAAUAAAUCAUCGUCAUCAUUAUAACUCUUUUAAUUCAGCUCCACUGUGAGUACUGUCAUUUUCAUCAAACAAAAGAUGUGUGCUUCUGUAAACUGUUAAAAUGAAGCCUAAUAAACCAGAAAGGUCGAGAUGUAUUUAACAUUCAAUGGUUAAAAGCUGUGAAAAUUUUAGUUAAUGAAGGUUAGAACUGUCAGAAUGGAGCUCUUAUAACAGUUUACAUCAGAAUAAAGAAGUGUUCUGGUUUAAAUGUAGACUGAUAAACUGCCACAUUAACUAUUUUUUUUGUUAAACCCACAACAAUUUUGAACUACGAAAGUAUUUGUGUGAAACAUGCAUGUACAUAGUGUCCCUGAGCUCAAGUGUUUCAUGACUGGGUGACGACUGGGUGGCUGGUUCACCUCAGUCUCAGCAAUUUACUAAAAGUAUUUUAAAGUUGCAGUAAUCUACAUUAUUAUUCAGUAAUGUACAAGAUUAAUGUGAAGUUACUCCAGAGCUGUAAUGUAGAGGCUGAUAGUUCACAUCUGAUCAAUCAUGUCAGCGUUGAAAAUCUUCUGUAUCAUGUCAUACGUGAAUUAUAAAGUGUCAGUUGAGUG
rnacentral:lncRNA from 1 species